UAGUCCACGCCGUAAACGAUGGAUACUAGCUGUCCGGAUGCAAAUCUGGGCGGCCAAGCGAAAGUGAUAAGUAUCCCACCUGGGGAGUACGUCCGCAAGGAUGAAACUCAAAGGAAUUGACGGGGGCCCGCACAAGCGGUGGAGCGUGUGGUUUAAUUCGAUGAUACGCGAGGAACCUUACCAGGGCUUAAAUGCAGUUGGACAGGGGUGGAAACACCCCCUUCUUCGGACUGAUUGCAAGGUGCUGCAUGGUUGUCGUCAGCUCGUGCCGUGAGGUGUCAGGUUAAGUCCUAUAACGAGCGCAACCCCUGUGGUUAGUUGCCAGCGAGUAAUGUCGGGAACUCUAGCCAGACUGCCGGUGCAAACCGUGAGGAAGGUGGGGAUGACGUCAAAUCAUCACGGCCCUUACGUCCUGGGCUACACACGUGCUACAAUGGUAGGUACAGAGAGCAGCCACUGCGCGAGCAGGANCGAAUCUAUAAAACCUAUCUCAGUUCGGAUCGG
rnacentral:rRNA from 1 species